AAAUAAAGUAAAAUACCUGACCAUUACUCUUCAAAAUUGUCAAAGCCAUUAAAAAAAGAAGAAAUUGAGGAUUGUAAGAGUAAAGAAACAUGACAACUACUUGCACUGUGGAUCCUGGGCCAGAAAAAGGACUUUAGUGAAAAUACUGAUGAAAUUUGAAUAAUAUGUGACUAAUGUUUCAAGCCAGACUCCCUCUGCCAAAAGAAGUUUGGGAUUUCUUCCUCAGCCAGUUCCUCUUUCUGUUAAAAAACUGAGGUGUAACCAGGAUUACACUGGCUGGAAUAAACCAAGAGUGCCCCUUUCCUCUCACCAACAGCAGCAACUGCAGGGCUUUUCCAAUUUGGGAAAUACCUGCUAUAUGAAUGCUAUUCUACAAUCUCUAUUUUCACUCCAGUCAUUUGCAAAUGACUUGCUUAAACAAGGUAUCCCAUGGAAGAAAAUUCCACUCAACGCACUUAUCAGACGCUUUGCACACUUGCUUGUUAAAAAAGAUAUCUGUAAUUCAGAGACCAAAAAGGAUUUACUCAAGAAGGUUAAAAAUGCCAUUUCAG
rnacentral:sRNA from 1 species